rnacentral:rRNA from 1 species
AGAUUGAACGCUGGCGGCAUGCCUUACACAUGCAAGUCGAACGGCAGCACGGACUUCGGUCUGGUGGCGAGUGGCGAACGGGUGAGUAAUAUAUCGGAACGUACCCUGGAGUGGGGGAUAACGCAGCGAAAGUUGCGCUAAUACCGCAUACGAUCUACGGAUGAAAGUGGGGGCUCGCAAGACCUCAUGCUCGUGGAGCGGCCGAUAUCUGAUUAGCUAGUUGGUAGGGUAAAAGCCUACCAAGGCAUCGAUCAGUAGCUGGUCUGAGAGGACGACCAGCCACACUGGGACUGAGACACGGCCCAGACUCCUACGGGAGGCAGCAGUGGGAAUUUUGGACAAUGGGGGCAACCCUGAUCCAGCAAUGCCGCGUGAGUGAAGAAGGCCUUGGUGUAAGCUCUUUGUCAGGAAGAAACGGUGAAGGCUAAUAUACUUGACUAAUGACGGUACCGUGAAGAAGUAAGACACCGACUAACGUACGU